UACGGGGGGGGCAAGCGUUGUUCGGAAUUACUGGGCGUAAAGGGUUUGUAGGUGGCCCGCUAAGUCACACGUGAAAUCCCUCAGCUUAACUGGGGAACUGCGUGUGAGACUGGCAGGCUCGAGGGCGGGAGAGGAACGCGGAAUUCCAGGUGUAGCGGUGAAAUGCGUAGAUAUCUGGAGGAACACCGGUGGCGAAGGCGGCGUUCUGGACUGUCUCUGACACUGAAGAACGAAAGCCAGGGGAGCAAACGGG
rnacentral:rRNA from 1 species